UGGAGAUGACGCCGUUGACUUUUUCUCACAUGUUUGACUAUUCGUCUUAUUAAAAAAAAUUAUGUAAUUAUAAUUUAUUUUAUUAUGAGUUGUUUUAUUAUUUAUAGUACUUUAAGUGUGAUUUAUAUCUUAUACAUUUGUAUAAAAUUUUUGAAUAAGACGAAUAGUCAAACAUGUGAGAAAAAGUAAACGGCAUCAUCUAUU
rnacentral:pre_miRNA from 1 species